AGAAUUUGAAACCGUGUGCUUACAAACGGUAGGAGCACAUUAUGUGUGACUGCGUGGAUUUUGGUUAAUCAUCCUGCGAGUUAUGGCUGGUGGCAAGGUUAAUAGACGGAGCCGAAGGGAAACCAAGUCUUAAUAGGGCGUCAAGUCGCCAGUCAUAGACGCGAAACCUAGUGAUCUAGGCCUGUCCAGGCUGAAGCUGAGGUAAGACUCAGUGGAGGGCCGAACUCACCGCCGUUGAAAAGUUGGGAGAUGAGAUAGGUCUAGGGGUGAAAAGCCAAUCGAACUAGGAGAUAGCUCGUUCUCUCCGAAAUGCAUUUAGGUGCAGCGUUGCGUGGUUCUUGUUGGAGGUAGAGCACUGGAUGGUCUAGGGGGCUUAUCGGCUUACCGAAAUCAGCCAAACUCCGAAUGCUGGCAAGUGUAGCGUGGCAGUGAGACGGCGGGGGAUAAGCUUCGUCGUCGAGAGGGAAACAGCCCAGAUCAUCAGCUAAGGCCCCUAAGUGGUGACUCAGUGGGAAAGGAUGUG
rnacentral:rRNA from 1 species